UAAAUUUGACCACUAUCCAAGAAAAUUCCAACGCUACUUUUAGCAAAAAGCUUUUUGGAUUAGGAGAAGAGGGUAUUUCCAAUAAUCAGAUCAAAAACUCCUAACCGUAGAAAAUCAACCAUGUCUUCCAAGCAAGGUGGAAAGGCAAAGCCUUUGAAGGCACCAAAGUCUGAAAAGAAGGAGUACGACGAGAAUGAUAAGGCUUUUCUUGCAAAGAAGAAGGAAGAGGAAAAGGCGCUAAAGGAGCUCAAGGCAAAGGCUCAGAAAGGGUCCAUU